UGGGGAAUUUUGGACAAUGGGCGCAAGCCUGAUCCAGCCAUGCCGCGUGCGGGAAGAAGGCCUUCGGGUUGUAAACCGCUUUUGUCAGGGAAGAAAUCUUCUGAGUUAAUACCUCGGGAGGAUGACGGUACCUGAAGAAUAAGCACCGGCUAACUACGUGCCAGCAGCCGCGGUAAUACGUAGGGUGCAAGCGUUAAUCGGAAUUACUGGGCGUAAAGCGUGCGCAGGCGGUUUUGUAAGACAGAGGUGAAAUCCCCGGGCUCAACCUGGGAACUGCCUUUGUGACUGCAGGGCUUGAGUGCGGCAGAGGGGGAUGGAAUUCCGCGUGUAGCAGUGAAAUGCGUAGAUAUGCGGAGGAACACCGAUGGCGAAGGCAAUCCCCUGGGCCUGCACUGACGCUCAUGCACGAAAGCGUGGGGAGCAAACAGGAUUAGAUACCCUGGUAGUCCACGCCCUAAACGAUGUCAACUGGUUGUUGGGAAGGUUCCUUCUCAGUAACGUAGCUAACGCGUGAAGUUGACCGCCUGGGGAGUACGGCCGCAAGGUUGAAACUUAAAUGAAUUGACGGGGUCAUAGCUGUUU
rnacentral:rRNA from 1 species